rnacentral:rRNA from 1 species
CAGCAGCCACGGGAAUACGUAGGGUGCAAGCGUUAAUCGGAAUUACUGGGCGUAAAGCGUGCGCAGGCGGUUUUGUAAGACAGAGGUGAAAUCCCCGGGCUCAACCUGGGAACUGCCUUUGUGACCGCAAGGCUGAAGUGCGGCAGAGGGGGAUGGAAUUCCGCGUGUAGCAGUGAAAUGCGUAGAUAUGCGGAGGAACACCGAUGGCGAAGGCAAUCCCCUGGGCCUGCACUGACGCUCAUGCACGAAAGCGUGGGGAGCAAACAGGAUUAGAUACCCCUGUAGUCCCUGUCUCUUAUAC